rnacentral:tRNA from 1 species
GGCGCGUUGGCAGAGGGGUUUAUGCAGCGGAUUGCAAAUCCGUUUAGCUCGGUUCAAUUCCGAGACGCGCCU